ACUACCUUUCUUCUAUCUCUCUCUGUCUUUAAUAUUUUUGAGAAAAAUAGAUGAACAAGAUGAAGAGAUUCAAGCAUGCAAUUCAGAAAAUGUAAAGAGGAGGAGAAGAUGAACACAUUGAUUAUAGUGGUUCGAUCUAAGGAGAUCUACGUCCACUCUCAAGGUUUGAAUCUAUCUUUUAUUCAAGUUUUCUUUGAGUUUUCACUCACUCAUUUCUUUUUUCUUCUCUCGGUAUUUCAUACAAGAGUUCUUUUUUCUAACAAUAAAACUGAGAAAUUAGUUUAUUUGUUACUAAUAGAAAUGUUUGUUUCUUGUGAGGUGAACAAAGAGAUGAAACUCAGUUGCAUGAGCUUCCGACUUGAGCUGGUUUGUCUACUGCUCUGAGUAGACUUGGGCAGUACUCCAACUUGUCUGUAAGUCCGUGGCAAUCGAUAAAGCAACUAUUACUGAAGAUAUCAGGAAAAACAGAGGCAUUUGGGGCAAGUUCGGAGCAGAAAAUGCACAAAAAUGAGUAUUCUACUUUAUAGUGUCACGAUGCUACAAUCACAGCGUUGCAGAUGCUGCAAGGCGAGGCGUAAUGUGAGGGAGUCGUAGCGUCGUGACGUUGCCCCUCAGCGUUUUAACUCUACGAGGGUGUGAGGAACCUGGUUGUGGCGCACGUACAGCUGUUGAAGGAGGUUUUUUUUUAACCUAAUUUUCUUAUGUAAUUAAUUAAAUUGAUAUAGUAUUUAUAUUAAUUUAAUUAAUUAAUUUUGCAUU